GAUGAACGCUAGCGGCAGGCCUAAUACAUGCAAGUCGAACGGUGUCUUCGGACAUAGUGGCGCACGGGUGCGUAACACGUAUGCAACCUACCUUACAUUGGGGGAUAGCCUUUCGAAAGGGAGAUUAAUACCGCAUAAGACAGUAGUCUGGCAUCAGACAGCUGUUAAAGAUUUAUCGAUGUAAGCUGGGCAUGCGUCCAAUUAGUUAGUUGGCGGGGUAACGGCUCACCAAGACUAUGAUUGGUAGGGGAACUGAGAGGUCAAUCCCCCACACUGGCAGUGAGAGACGGGCCAGACUCCUACGGGAGGCAGCAGUAGGGAAUAUGGGGCAAUGGACGCAAGUCUGACCCAGCCAUGCCGCGUGCAGGAAGAAGGCGUUAUGCGUUGUAAACUGCUUUUAUACAGGAAGAAACGACUCUUGCGAGAGGCAUUGACGGUACUGUAUGAAUAAGCACCGGCUAACUCCGUGCCAGCCGCCGCCGUAACAC
rnacentral:rRNA from 1 species